GGUACCAGGGCAGAACUGGUUGGAUGUGGGACUCAGAGGACAAGAAGCAGGUGGCACUCAAUUCUGCUUUUUAAAGAGUAUCCUAAUUGGUAACUAAAACAUCUGAUACAUAUGGUAGACCAGCUUCACUUGGGUAUGAAUGCUAACAUAGGAGAUUUCUGGCUCUGCAGGUGUAAAAGCUCCAUCUCCACUGCAGCUCCAUCAUGUGUGAAAUAGCCUCGCUGUGCGUGCCUGCCUGGUUGCCUCUGAGCUAUGGGAAAAAACAUCGAAGCCAGCUCUACAGUUCCAGUCCCAACCUUGGAUCUGCCAGUGCUACGUUCUAGACCUAUGACAGCCCUUGAUAGAAGGUACUCAGGUCAGCUUUUAAUUAGCCAACUUGUAUCCCGCUGGUGACCACAGAGUGCUGAGUGCAAUCCAGGCUAACUCUCCCACAGCAUUUGCCUGGAGUCUGGGGUAUGCUUUGUAGUCUUGUUGAACCCUAGCUGUCAUGUUUGUGUUGAGUCCAUAGUAGAUUAAUUAAAGCUAGCUCAUGUUGGAAUUAGUCCUCUUAGAUGGCCGCAUAUGUUCUUUUCUGCAGAAUGAGGCCAGCUCAGGUGCUUUAAACCCUUUUAGCCUUCUUUUUCUUGGUUUAAAUAUAUGAGGGCGUAACUUAAUACAUUAUGCUUAAUAUUUAACCACCUCAUGAGGUGUUGAGAGGAUUUUUAAAGUAAUAUUUAUACAGCAUUUUGAAGAUUGCAUUUUGAAGAAAGCAUUGCAUAAGCGAUAAUUAUUAUCUACAUUUAUUUUCAUGCCUCAGUUGAAACAUCUUUUACUUUUUGUCUAAGGUACUUAAUUUUUCUUUUGCUCCUUUUUUAAAAAAAUAAUUAUUCUGUUGUUUAACUUUAUAUGAGAUUUUUGGGAUAUAGUUUUGGAGAAGAAAGCGGCUGUACAGGUUAUAUUAUACUGUGUCAGAUGGUUCUUCUCUGUUAUUUUUUUCAUUCCAUGAUGAACUGAUGCUUUCACCAAUCCAAUUUGCAGCCAGAGGUUUAUUCAUGCCAGAACGGAAGAAUAGGUUUGAUUCUUCAGGAAAUCAGCCAAGACUCAGGAGGCCUAGAUUUUCUCUGUUCUGAUACAGGUUUGUUGUUUGACAUUGGAAAAAUCACUUCUUCAUGUCUCAGCUGACCAUCUGUAAAGCAGAAAUGGUGUUUCCCUACUGUGUACUUCAGUUGUAAUAUUACUUUUCUAUAUUAGGCAGUGUUCAUAAGUGUGAUAGGAGAACCAAUAUACUUCAAAAGGCAUUGUUAAUCUCCUGUGUGCAGAUCACUCAUAGCAUCCAGUGACCUACAAAAUGGAUAUGGGGCCUGUAUUUCAGAAAUACAUAUUAAUUUAACUCUCACUUAACUAAAGAAGACAGCUUCUAUCUUCUUUAGAGAGAAUCAGUAAACAGUUUUUCCAAGAUAAUUAAUAGGUGUAUCUCCAAGUUCUCUGCCAAUGUCUGCUUACAAAAAAAGAAGAUAUAUACAGUAUUUAUGGUUUAGCCCCCAGGAAGAUGAUUGUGAAGUUUUUUCCAUGAAUUUUAUUUUGGCUACACAUUUCUGUGAUUUUUUUGUCAGAUACAAGCAGUUUCAUUCUGUAAUCUGGAGUUUACUUGUUCUUGCCAUGAUAUGCAAAGCCAUAUCUUCUGGGGGAUGACAUGUAACACUGGUUGCUAGUGAUGGACCGUAUAUUAGUAAGUAGAUAUGAGGCCAUACAUAUCCAUCCACCUUUCUAGGAGGAAGCUGUUAUAUUGAAGUUAUUCCCUACUAUAAGUAGUAGGGGAAAAAUAUGAAGGCAUUGUACAAUGUGAUCAGACAAAAGCUUCUAAACAUAAACAGUCAUGCUUUUAUCAGUUUUUUGAUCAGCAUGCAAUGCUGAAACUGUGGGUAAGGUGGAGAUCAAAAUUUAUCAUAUUUUAACUGAAAUCCGUUAUGCUUUUCAAAUGGUUGCUCUAUCCCGGUGGGAAUGAUCCAUGGCAAGAUAAUGUUACUUAAUCGUUUUAUUUCUAAAACGCACCUUCUUUUCUCUGUGCAUGCAAGUGCUUUACAGCUCAAU